rnacentral:rRNA from 1 species
UGAGGAAUAUUGGUCAAUGGACGAGAGUCUGAACCAGCCAAGUCGCGUGAAGGAAGACGGCGUUAUGCGUUGUAAACUUCUUUUGUUCGGGAAUAAAAAAGGGGACGUGUCCCCUAUUGUAUGUACCGAAAGAAUAAGGAUCGGCUAACUCCGUGCCAGCAGCCGCGGUAAUACGGAGGAUCCGAGCGUUAUCCGGAUUUAUUGGGUUUAAAGGGUGCGUAGGCGGGUUAUUAAGUCAGUGGUGAAAGUUUUCGGCUCAACCGGAAAAUUGCCAUUGAAACUGGUAGUCUUGAGUACAGUAGAGGUAAGCGGAAUUCGUGGUGUAGCGGUGAAAUGCUUAGAUAUCACGAAGAACUCCGAUUGCGAAGGCAGCUUGCUGGAGUGUUACUGACGCUGAUGCACGAAAGCGUGGGGAUCAAACA